CAGCAGCACAUGAUCCUGAUCCCUGCACAGAGCAGCUCAUCUUUUACAUCAUUAACUGCACAAACACAGGCAAAGACGUGACAUUGAACUGGAGGCCCACAGCCAGAACUCAACAGGUGCCUGAUGUAGGCGUCACCCAGCAGCCUACGUGCCGAGCAUCAGCUACAUCCCCAGGCUGCGUCACUCAACAUUAGUCACUCCAUCCGGCACCAGAACAAGGACGAAUCUUCCGACCACAUUUCCUUCUUAAAUUGAUGCUGUGCAAACCUAAGCGUUGCUUAUGGCCGCCACUGACGCAGCGUUUGUGAGAGACAGAGUUUGACCUUGGGAGAGAAAGACUGCAACAGCGACAUCUGGUGUCUAAAAGAAGAACAUCACUAUUGCAUUGGUUUCUUUCCAACACUUUCUAGCUUGCUUAUGUUCACUGUAAUGUUGAUUGAAGUAUUUCAUCUUUAUAUAAUAUAACAAACUAUAUAUUUUUAAAAUGAAUAUAUUGUACUAUAUUGUACAAACCCUAACAAAAGUAUCUGCAAAAAUACUCUUUAAAGCAAUCAUUUCAUCUCAGUUCACAUCAUUUUGUAAUUAGCAUGUAUUUUCGUUUCGUUUAUCAAAUAUUUUUUUAAGUUGCUAACAAUAGAUAAUAAAACAAAAGUAAUAGACCUAAAAUAUACAUGUAACAUCAGUUCAGGACUAUACCACUUCCCACCAGCAGAGGGCAUGCUCUCCUGAGUUCUAGCCUGAACUAUGACCUUCCUCCUUUCACAUAUAUUACACAUACAAAAAAGUGCAAAAUUUUCUAGAAUGCUUAAAUAAUACUUUAUUAUAGAGUUCUCAUUGUUUCUGGGGCAGAUGGUAGGUUUAUGGAUGAAAACAACUCAAAGAACUCAAGCUCCUUUUCAUCCAUGUGAUUAUUCAUGGUUAGCAUCGGUGGCCUAGAUGGUAAACCCUUGUUUAAUGAACAUUAGAGAUGUGCAUCUAUUUGAAAGAAAUUACAAGUCUGAAGAACUGGUCCCAGGAUAAUAACCUCUUCCUGAACGUCAGUAAGACAAAGGGACUAAUAGUGGACUUCAUCAUGAAGCGAGAGAGGAGCUACAAUACCACCCCCUUUAUUUCAACAGUGUGGAGUCCCAUCUGAUAAAUGGACAUUUCUCUUUUGUGGUCAGGGAAGCGAUUCCUCUCCCUGAAGGCCAACACAGAGAGAAUGAAGAAGAGGUUCUUCCUGCACACUCUGCAGGCCCUAAAAAUCUUGGAUUUGGAUUUGUUUGCACAAGACCAACACCCACUACAUUUCUGUAACUAUACCCUUAUAAUCCAGUAUUAAUAAAAAUUAAUGUUAGCAUUUUUAUUUCAACUUUCUCAGCUCAAUGUUGUAAUUGCACAUAACCUUACACAUAUCUGUAUCAGCCUAAAGCAUUCCCCUGCAUGUUAUAUUGUGUGUCUGUUUGUGACCAAGAAAAUUAGGUUUAGUUAAUUUAAAUUAGUUUCAGUUCACAAUGGACACUUAAUCAGUUCCUGUUAUUUGCUUUGCUCAUAUUAUUAUACUAUUAUAUGUUCCAAUCCUUUGUACUUACAACCUAAUUCUAAGUAGAUAAACAAC